GAUCAUGGCUCAGGAUAAACGCUAGCGGCAGGCCUAACACAUGCAAGUCGAGUGGCAUCGGAUAGAGUACUUCGGUACUCUUGCCGGCGACCGGCGGACGGGUGCGUAACGCGUAUGCAACCUACCUUCAACAGGGGGAUAAGUCCGAAGAAAUUUGGUCUAAUACCCCAUAAUAUUCCGACAGGCAUCUGUCGGAGUUGAAAGCUUCGGUAGGUUGGAGAUGGGCAUGCGUUGUAUUAG
rnacentral:rRNA from 1 species